AACGAACGCUGGCGGCAGGCUUAACACAUGCAAGUCGAGCGCAUCCUUCGGGGUGAGCGGCAGACGGGUGAGUAACGCGUGGGAACGUACCCUUUCCUACGGAAUAGCUCCGGGAAACUGGAAUUAAUACCGUAUACGCACUUAGGGGGCAAGAUUUAUCGGGGAAGGAUCGGCCCGCGUUGGAUUAGCUAGUUGGGGGGGUAAGGGCCUACCAAGGCGACGAUCCAUAGCUGGUCUGAGAGGAUGAUCAGCGACAUUGGGACUGAGACACGGCCCAAACUCCUACGGGAGGCAGCAGUGGGGAAUAUUGGACAAUGGGCGCAAGCCUGAUCCGGCCAUGCCGCGUGAGUGAUGAAGGCCUUAGGGUUGUAAAGCUCUUUCAGUAGGGAAGAUAAUGACGGUACCUACAGAAGAAGCCCCGGCUAACUUCGUGCCAGCAGCCGCGGUAA
rnacentral:rRNA from 1 species